GACCGCCAUCCUGGUGAACG
rnacentral:misc_RNA from 1 species